GAACUGUUGAAUUGAAAUAUUGUAAGACUGAGGAAAUGCUAGCAGAUGUAUUCACUAAAGGUUUAUCUGGAGAAAGAUGUUGUAUGUUGACACACAAGAUUGGAGUCAGGAAGAUGGAUGAUUCAAGCUCUGUUCAGUGAGGAGUGUUGAAGUAUAUUACAAUAAUCACUAAAAGAACUUGUACUAUGUAUUUAAUUAAUUGUACAUGUAACCACAUUGUUUACAUUAUUGUUUAUACAUGCAGUAUUUCUAGAUUUAUCUAUACAUGUAGUGUUAAUUCUGUCCUCUUCUAGAUUGCUCCAUUCUUCUCUCUUCUUACACUAAUCUUUAUGUUUCCAGAACAUUCUGUAGCUAGACUAUAAAUUGUAUCCCAGUCUGUCUCUCUCUAAGUUCUUAUUGUCCUCUCAGUUCCUCUCUGUUUUCUCUCUUGUUAAUUCAUUUAUUUGUUCUGAUUAAAUAUACUAAGACUAUUUAGUAAGCUGUUAAGUCAUCAACUGUAUCUACAUAAACUCAUCACAAUGAAAUCCUGAAGAUGAUCACUAUGUGCCCCAUAGCCAAGGAAAACAUCGUGCCAGUGGCCAGCGUUGGUACCCGAAGGUCCGGCACUGCCUUGAAUGUGGGAGGCUGUGAAGUGAAUGUGUGCACCAGUAACCAUUUGAUCUAGUCUUGAAGGGAGAGUAUCACACUUAAUCAGAGCAGACUUGGGUGAACAUUGCCGAUCUGGGUGUUUCGACUUUAAAGCAUCUAAAACUGUCAUAGUAGACGAAUGAUGGUCUCAGGUCUUUGUUUCAAUUACUUUACUAAAAGGUAGUAUAAGUCCCUUUGACCGCUCAGAGAGCCAUUGCACAGUUGCCCUAGUCUUGCCCUGCAACAUUAAUCUUUUUAAAACAGUGACCAAAUGAUCAGAGUCCUCUUUAUAGGCCUGGGUCUUGAGAGUACUGUCACAUGCAACAGCUUCAUUCAUUAAACUAUCAAAGCCUUCAAUUGUCCCUUUCAACAACCUUCUCUCCAUCAAUGCUCUUAUAUCAGUCCCUUUCCUUACCAUACGGGUUCUUUGUAAUAUUACAGCAGAAAAAGCCAUCAGCCUUUCAGAGGGAUUGUUCCCAGCAGCGACUUCCUCAGACAGUAGAUCAACAUAUCUUCGACCAAUGGAUCCUCCAGGGACAUGAUAUAAUCUUCCUUUCAAGUGAGUAGCCAGUGGCAGGACCACUCACUGUCUGGCACUGUAGUACAGCACAAAGUAUCUCCAAAGGCACACAUGUACUGGUCAAAGUCAAAGAUACUUGUGUGAGUGCUAGAUGAAGACGGGGCCUGCACAUUGACAGGAGAAACCAAUGGCGGUGAAGGACAGUCAUGACGUUGAGAAAGAGAUGGUAUGGAGCUGCUAGUAGUAGAUUGUAUGGUGUUCGGUCAGGUUCCUUUCCUUUUAGAAAGACAAGAGAAACACUUAGAGCCUGUCUUCCGGCAAGAGCAGGACUUACGUACAGCAUUGGACCCAUUACAGAGACUGUAACACAUACAUGUAGAUAAUGUUGUGAUGGGAAUAGAGGGAAAACCCUACAGAACAACAGAAAUAAAGAAAUACAAGAAGACAAGGAAAACUGCAGGGGUCCCAUCUCAUCUUGAGCCAUCUGGCUUGGCUAGAUCUGAUGGUAAGAGACCGGAUGGAGUCACCACGGUCCCAUGGUCAUUGGGUAAGCCCCUUGUUUCGGAUACCACAUGCCCUGACACCCUAGCACCAUCUUAUGAGAGCAUUCCAUUUCAUGGCCCUGGGUCUUUUGCUAAGGCUGCUGAGGUGAAGAAGUGUGCUAAGUAAGAUGCCCUCCAUCAGUCAUACUCCUUCACUCCUGUGGCAAAUGAGACCUUGGGUGCCAUUGGUUUAUGUCCCUGAAGUUCCUCCGUCAGCUGGGAACUUGAAUUGGGGAGCAGUCUGGGGAGGAGGCCUCAUAAUUGAUGCAUCAGAUUUCAGUCGUGGUACAAAGGGCCAACGCUGUGAGUGUUAUGGUGUCCCUUCCUGACUCUGCUCAUCCUGACAAUUUUUUCUUUUUGUAGUUAUUUACUUAAUUAGUCCUUUUUGUAUAAAGUAUUAGAAUUGGUAAAAUGAAGUUGGUAGGGAAA